GACGAACGCUGGCGGCGUGCUUAACACAUGCAAGUCGAACGGUAAGGCCCUUCGGGGUACACGAGUGGCGAACGGGUGAGUAACACGUGGGUGAUCUGCCCUGCACUUCGGGACAAGCCUGGGAAACUGGGUCUAAUACCGGAUAGGACCACUGCCUGCAUGGGUGGGGGUGGAAAGCUUUUGCGGUGUGGGAUGGGCCCGCGGCCUAUCAGCUUGUUGGUGGGGUGAUGGACUACCAAGGCGACGACGGUGAGCCGGCCUGAGAGGGUGACCGGCCACACUGGGACUGAGAUACGGCCCAGACUCCUACGGGAGGCAGCAGUGGGGAAUAUUGCACAAUGGGCGCAAGCCUGAUGCAGCGACGCCGCGUGAGGGAUGACGGCCUUCGGGUUGUAAACCUCUUUCAGCACCGACGAGGCGCAAGUGACGGUAGGUGCAGAAGAAGGACCGGCCAACUACGUGCCAGCAGCCGCCGUAA
rnacentral:rRNA from 1 species